GAAACCAAUCCCGAAAUCAUAUCUCAGUUGGAAUUGUCGGCUGUAACCCGCUGACAUGAACGUGGAAUCCCUAGUAAUCGUGUGUCAUCAUCGCACGGUGAAUACGUCUCUGCUCCUUGCACACACCGCCCGUCGCUCCAUCCGAGUGUGCUAAAAAUGAGGUUUGGUCAGAUUGGUCAUAUCGAGUUUUUAGUAUGCGAGGAGGGAGAAGUCGUAACAAGGUAGCCGUAGGGGAACCUGCGGCUGGAUCACCUCCUAU
rnacentral:rRNA from 1 species